AUGGCAAUCAAGAAGAUGAUGGUCAUACUCCUACAGAAGGCAAUGUUGACGUCAACAUGGAUGAUAGCAAUCCUGAGCUUAGAGACCAUAGAGAGCUAUAAAUACAAUGAUGGGAUGAGCAGCAAGGAAGACGAAGAUGCAUGUUUGCACCCCCCACGCUGCCAUGUUCUUUCUUUGCGUAUAUCUACCAAUAAUCGUUUCGGUGCAGUGCUGAACUUUGAGCGGGAGAUGGAGAGACUUCCAACUACCAACUUUACUGUUUUGGAGCUGCAUCUCAAUGUAACGGGGCAUGUUUUAGGACCACUUGUGCUGCGUCUCCUUAUGAUGCAUCACAUUCGGACUGCUACACAGAGGCUUAAGGUUUUUUUAUGGGACUGGUCCAAGUCAAAAUGUCUUGAAAAAUGUCCUUGUGAUGAGCCCAAGAACUGGAGGAGCCAAAGUAUCUCCUUGACUCAUCUCAAAGACGUAGAAAUCAACAACUUCAAAGGAGGGGACGGUGAGAUUGAUUUUGUGAAAAUGACAUUGAGAUGGGCACCAAAGCUUAACACAAUGACCAUCAAUCUAGCUCAUGACGCAGACAUUGGACGUUGCGCCACGAAUAUCUACAGUAUUUCCUUGGCGUAUCCUUUUGUUAAUUGCUCUGUUUAUCAAUGUUCUGGUGGACUGGUCCAACAAACAUGCCUAUAG
rnacentral:rRNA from 1 species